rnacentral:rRNA from 1 species
GUCGAGCGGACAGAAGGGAGCUUGCUCCCGGAUGUUAGCGGCGGACGGGUGAGUAACACGUGGGUAACCUGCCUGUAAGACUGGGAUAACUCCGGGAAACCGGAGCUAAUACCGGAUAGUUCCUUGAACCGCAUGGUUCAAGGAUGAAAGACGGUUUCGGCUGUCACUUACAGAUGGACCCGCGGCGCAUUAGCUAGUUGGUGGGGUAAUGGCUCACCAAGGCGACGAUGCGUAGCCGACCUGAGAGGGUGAUCGGCCACACUGGGACUGAGACACGGCCCAGACUCCUACGGGAGGCAGCAGUAGGGAAUCUUCCGCAAUGGACGAAAGUCUGACGGAGCAACGCCGCGUGAGUGAUGAAGGUUUUCGGAUCGUAAAGCUCUGUUGUUAGGGAAGAACAAGUGCGAGAGUAACUGCUCGCACCUUGACGGUACCUAACCAGAAAGCCACGGCUAACUACGUGCCAGCAGCCGCGGUAAUACGUAGGUGGCAAGCGUUGUCCGGAAUUAUUGGGCGUAAAGGGCUCGCAGGCGGUUUCUUAAGUCUGAUGUGAAAGCCCCCGGCUCAACCGGGGAGGGUCAUUGGAAACUGGGAAACUUGAGUGCAGAAGAGGAGAGUGGAAUUCCACGUGUAGCGGUGAAAUGCGUAGAGAUGUGGAGGAACACCAGUGGCGAAGGCGACUCUCUGGUCUGUAACUGACGCUGAGGAGCGAAAGCGUGGGGAGCGAACAGGAUUAGAUACCCUGGUAGUCCACGCCGUAAACGAUGAGUGCUAAGU